CCUACGGGAGGCUGCAGUGGGGAAUAUUGGACAAUGGGGGGAACCCUGAUCCAGCGACGCCGCGUGAGUGAAGAAGUAUUUCGGUAUGUAAAGCUCUAUCAGCAGGGAAGAAAAUGACGGUACCUGACUACGAAGCCCCGGCUAACUCCGUGCCAGCAGCCGCGGUAAGACGUAGGGGGCAAGCGUUAUCCGGAUUUACUGGGUGUAAAGGGAGCGUAGACGGUGCAGCAAGUCUGAUGUGAAAGGUCGGGGCCCAACCCCGGGACUGCAUUGGAAACUGUUGAACUGGAGUACAGGAGAGGUAAGCGGAAUUCCUAGUGUAGCGGUGAAAUGCGUAGAUAUUAGGAGGAACACCAGUGGCGAAGGCGGAUUACUGGACUGUAACUGACGUUGAGGCGCGAAAGCGUGGGGAGCAAACAGGAUUAGAUACCCCGGUAGUC
rnacentral:rRNA from 1 species